rnacentral:rRNA from 1 species
ACGAACGCUGGCGGCGUGCUUAACACAUGCAAGUCGAACGGAAAGGCCCUGCUUUUGUGGGGUGCUCGAGUGGCGAACGGGUGAGUAACACGUGAGUAACCUGCCCUUGACUUUGGGAUAACUUCAGGAAACUGGGGCUAAUACCGGAUAGGAGCUCCUGCUGCAUGGUGGGGGUUGGAAAGUUUCGGCGGUUGGGGAUGGACUCGCGGCUUAUCAGCUUGUUGGUGGGGUAGUGGCUUACCAAGGCUUUGACGGGUAGCCAGCCUGAGAGGGUGACCGGCAAAAUUGGGACUGAGAUACGGCCCAGACUCCUACGGGAGGCAGCAGUGGGGAAUAUUGCACAAUGGGCGGAAGCCUGAUGCAGCAACGCCGCGUGCGGGAUGACGGCCUUCGGGUUGUAAACCGCUUUCGCCUGUGACGAAGCGUGAGUGACGGUAAUGGGUAAAGAAGCACCGGCUAACUACGUG